UGAUUAUGACGUACUUGUACUGAUUGAGAUUUUAACACGAAGUGAGUGGCGAACGGGUGAGUAACACGUGGGUAACCUGCCCAGAAGUAGGGGAUAACACCUGGAAACAGAUGCUAAUACCGUAUAACAGAGAAAACCGCAUGGUUUUCUUUUAAAAGAUGGCUCUGCUAUCACUUCUGGAUGGACCCGCGGCGUAUUAGCUAGUUGGUGAGGUAAAGGCUCACCAAGGCAGUGAUACGUAGCCGACCUGAGAGGGUAAUCGGCCACAUUGGGACUGAGACACGGCCCAGACUCCUACGGGAGGCAGCAGUAGGGAAUCUUCCACAAUGGACGCAAGUCUGAUGGAGCAACGCCGCGUGAGUGAAGAAGGGUUUCGGCUCGUAAAGCUCUGUUGUUAAAGAAGAACGUGGGUAAGAGUAACUGUUUACCCAGUGACGGUAUUUAACCAGAAAGCCACGGCUAACUACGUGCCAGCAGCCGCGGUAAUACGUAGGUGGCAAGCGUUAUCCGGAUUUAUUGGGCGUAAAGCGAGCGCAGGCGGUCUUUUAAGUCUAAUGUGAAAGCCUUCGGCUCAACCGAAGAAGUGCAUUGGAAACUGGGAGACUUGAGUGCAGAAGAGGACAGUGGAACUCCAUGGGGAAA
rnacentral:rRNA from 1 species